rnacentral:misc_RNA from 1 species
AGCAGCCGCGGUAAUUCCAGCUCCAAUAGCGUAUAUUAAAGUUGCUGCAGUUAAAAGCUCGUAGUUGAAUUUCGGGACCAUCAUGUUGGUCGUGCCUCGGUACGUACUGGCAUUGUUGGUUUCUCCCUUCUGACGAACCAUGAUGUCAUUUAUUUGGUGUCGUGGGAAAUCAGGACUGUUACUUUGAAAAAUUAGAGUGUUUAAAGCAGGCUCACGCUUGAAUACAUUAGCAUGGAAUAAUGAAAUAGGACGUUUGAUUCUAUUUUGUUGGUUUCUAGGAUCGACGUAAUGAUUAAUAGGGAUAGUUGGGGGCAUUAGUAUUCAAUUGUCAGAGGUGAAAUUCUUGGAUUUAUUGAAGACUAACUACUGCGAAAGCAUUUGCCAAGGAUGUUUUCAUUAAUCAAGAACGAAAGUUAGGGGAUCGAAGACGAUCAGAUACCGUCGUAGUCUUAACCAUAAACUAUAGCCGACUAGGGAUCGGAUGAUGUUAAUUUUUAAUGACUC